AAUCUAACUGCCACAGUGGGUUCCACAGCUCUCCUCCCCUGUAAAUGUACCACUGAACCUGGUAAAACACCACGUGUUCUGUGGAUAAUUGAUACUGAGACAGUGUUUGAGCGAGAGGGUAAACAGUGGAUUGAUGGUGAGGAAUAUGAGGGUCGUGUGGACGUUCCUGAGGACGAGCUGAAUAAAGGAGACUGUUCUCUGGUGUUGAAGAAUGUCAGUGUUACUGAUGAUGAAGAUGAAUAUAGAUGUUACCAGGUGGUGACGCUCACAGGGAGCUUUGGUUCUAAACAUCAUUUGAUCCAGAAGGUUCAUCUCUCAGUUGUUGAUACAUCUACAAACAAGGCUAAACUUCAUGAUCCUGAGCAUCCUGAUACCAAUUAUUCUCCAGGUCUCGCUUUACACUGGAGUAUAAUUAUACCAGUAUUUGUUUGGUUGCUGCAGCAGUGGUGAUGAUCAUCAUCUACUGUAAGAUACGAGUUCUGAUGGAAACCUGGUUACCCUGUCGAGGUUAAAGACUGCAAGUCGAGACUGCAGUGCCAACAAUACUGCUCCUACUAGACUGGACUGAACAAUGAAGAACUUGUGCAAAUCCUAUUUAAAGUAUUCUCAAGGCCACCCAAAGAGGAUGGAGGUCCCUGUUAAGUCUGGUUCCUCUCAAGGUUUCUUCCUGUAAUUUUAAGGGGGGUAUUCCUGUCACUGUAACCCUCGGCUUGCUCAACAGGGGUUUUUGGUCUGUUGGUCCUGGAUUCUGUAAGUCUAUUGUAAAAAGCGCUAUAUAAAUAAAGUUGACUU